GACGAACGCUGGCGGCGUGCUUAACACAUGCAAGUCGAACGGAAAGGCCCUGCUUUUGUGGGGUGCUCGAGUGGCGAACGGGUGAGUAACACGUGAGUAACCUGCCCUUGACUUUGGGAUAACUUCAGGAAACUGGGGCUAAUAUCGGAUAGGAGCUCCUGCUGCAUGGUGGGGGUUGGAAAGUUUCGGCGGUUGGGGAUGGACUCGCGGCUUAUCAGCUUGUUGGUGGGGUAGUGGCUUACCAAGGCUUUGACGGGUAGCCGGCCUGAGAGGGUGACCGGCAACAUUGGGACUGAGAUACGGCCCAGACUCCUACGGGAGGCAGCAGUGGGGAAUAUUGCACAAUGGGCGGAAGCCUGAUGCAGCAACGCCGCGUGCGGGAUGACGGCCUUCGGGUUGUAAACCGCUUUCGCCUGUGACGAAGCGUGAGUGACGGUAAUGGGUAAAGAAGCACCGGCUAACUACGUG
rnacentral:rRNA from 1 species